GCCAUUGCAGAUUACACUGUUUUUGCCUAGUCCCUUUCCCAAGCAGGACUGCACUGCAUGUAGAAAAGACACAUAAUCAGAAAACUGGGAUUCACUGAAGUUCCUACAAAAGAACCAUCUUAUACUGUGCCAGUGUUGGAAUACAGUGGCAGCCAGAAAAAAAGCCCAACGAAAUACAACUGGCAGGAGGAGGAAUGAAUGGCAACAGGUGUCAUAGAUAGUGUGAAACAUCGUAUGAGACAGCCAUACUCUGUGGACAGGCAUACUGGCAUGCACAUACGCCUGCUUCCGAUAUUGCACUAAUUACUGGAUAUGUCAGAAGGCAGGGAAGGUUGGCUUCCUCUGAUGUAGGGAAUGGCUCAAGCUGUUACAUUUUGUGUGCUCUUGAUUUAUUAUUUUUACCUCUGUCACCAACACCACACAGCCAGUGUUGUGCCCCCGGCUCUUCACCCACAGUCUCUGACACAUAAUGCUGAACUUUUAUUUGCAGUAAAAUACAGUGCAAUAUAUAGUUGCUUAC